rnacentral:rRNA from 1 species
AUUGAACGCUGGCGGCAGGCCUAACACAUGCAAGUCGAGCGGAUGACAGGAGCUUGCUCCUGGAUUCAGCGGCGGACGGGUGAGUAAUGCCUAGGAAUCUGCCUGGUAGUGGGGGACAACGUUUCGAAAGGAACGCUAAUACCGCAUACGUCCUACGGGAGAAAGCAGGGGACCUUCGGGCCUUGCGCUAUCAGAUGAGCCUAGGUCGGAUUAGCUAGUUGGUGAGGUAAUGGCUCACCAAGGCGACGAUCCGUAACUGGGCUGAGAGGCUGAUCAGUCACCCGGGAACUGAGACACGGACCAGACUCCUACGGGAGGCAGCAGUGGGGAAUAUUGGACAAUGGGCGAAAGCCUGAUCCAGCCAUGCCGCGUGUGUGAAGAAGGUCUUCGGAUUGUAAAGCACUUUAAGUUGGGAGGAAGGGUUGUAGAUUAAUACUCUGCAAUUUUGACGUUACCGACAGAAUAAGCACCGGCUAACUCUGUGCCAGCCGCCGCAGUAAGAC